rnacentral:misc_RNA from 1 species
AACGCACAUUGCGCUCCUUGGUAUUCCGGGGAGCACGCCUGUUUGAGAAUCAGUAUAAUAUAUCGACCACGUUUUCUGACCUUUCGGGGUUGGGGAGCGGUGUCGGAUUUGGGCCUUUUGCUUGUUCAUCGAGCAAUGGCUUGAAAUUGAAUGUCACGAAUCCAACGGACACCUGUCUAAUGGGAUUUCAAGCGCAUGAGAGAGUGUUUUCACUUUUUAUUACGUUUGACCGCCUUUGAUGGGUUUUAAAGUGCCGCUGUUUGAGUCGACUCAACUGAUUAACACGGGGCAGGGGGGCGUCAGUCCUCAGGUCUCGAACACUUGGUCUCAAAUCAGGUGGGAAAACCCGCUGAACUUAA